rnacentral:tRNA from 1 species
GGCACUGUAGCUCAGUUGGUAGAGCACAUGCUUAACAAGUCCCACACGACGAAGCCCGCAUGUUGUCGUCGGUUCGAGCCCGGCCAGAGUCA